CGCCCACGUCCCCGCGCUUCUGGACAUUUCUGGACACCUAUUCCGGAAAAGCUCUGCUGGAAGAGGAAAGAGAAACCCAAGUCUCCUUCCUGGUGCUUAAUAGGCUCCGGGAUCAGUGGUCACUUCUACUUUUCAAGACAAACUUUUAGGAUGCGCCGGGCACGUGGAUGCUACCGAAUCCCAGUGCAUAGUGGGGGACACUGACCCUCACAGAGGGUCCUGCCAGGCUGUGUCGGUGACAGAGUCAAGACAGUUCAAGCCCCGCCCUCAGCAGGUCCUUUGUAUACCAUCCGCCAGGCCAGGCCAGCAGUCAAGAACCACCUGUUCCCAGAAGGGCACACCAGCGGUCCCGGGGUCAUGAGCAACCCUACCUUCCUUCCUGUGAGACCGUAUCCCGCUCCCAGCGGCACGCUUGCUGGCACAGCGUUUCUCGUCCAGCGUGUGGCACGCUGCGCAGCGCAGUGGUGCGUCCUCGUGCCAGGACUCUGAGCUAAGCACUGACCCCGUCCCAACUCAACAGAGGAGGAGAACUUGGGAGCUACCCUUAGGUGGAACCAGGAAGCUGUACUCCCAGCGUCUCGGCUGGUGACAGGCCUCCCGGUCUUUGUCUGGUGAGGCUGGCAACCGCCUGGAAUGAAGAACCUGGACGUGGUCACCUGCAAGAAAUGGGAGGUGCAGGCUCCCCAAAUGACUCCUCUGUGCCUCUCCCUUCACCGCUACAAUUUUAGAGGUUAACAUACCCCAAAAGACUAUGGACAAGGUCUGAUGGAAAGUAGAUGAUAGUAGUAGACAGCAGAAACUAGAUAGUAGAUAGACAAAUGUAUGCCUCUCAGAUUUAUUGACAGAAACCCAGGACACAGGAGUGGAAGUGAUUGUGAAGAUGGCCUGGAGGUAGGGGUUCUACGUGAGCAGCUGAGCACGGCCCUAGCGGCCCCCUCAGUAGGUGUACUGCAGCCCAAGCACAGUGGUGGCCCUCAGUACCUGAAACUGUACUGAUAACUACAGAGGAAGAAAUAAAAGACAUCCAGGGAGAGCAGUGCAUGCUGGUACGUGUCUGUAACCCUAGCUUUGGGGGGGGGGGCAAGCGGGGGCGGGGUGCCAGAAGGAGAAUCAGGAAGGUCAUCCACAGCUGCGUAGUAAAUUGGAGGCCAGCCAUAGGCCUGGAUAUAGCUCCAGGGCUCUCUCCCCAACACUGCAGUGACAGACCUGUAUUCUCUGAAGCUGCGAGGUAAACACAGGAAAACCAAAAGUUCAAGGUCAUCAUCUUAACUACAUAAGAAAUCCGAGGCCAGCCUAUGCUACAGGCCAAUCUCAAAACAAAACUCAGGGAGUCAGGAAUAGGGAGUAGGUGAGUGCCUAUCUUGUUCACUCACUGUCUAACCACAGCUUCCAAAGGACCCAAAGACAGCUCUGUCAGUGGGUAACACUGUGGCCAGAUGCCCUGGGAUCUGGAAGGAAUGACGGCGAUAAGCAGAUUCUUGGAAAUGCUGAGGGUAAACCAGAAGGGAAGAGCAGGGUGAGUGCUCACUCACCCCUCGUGAGUGCUCCAGAAGAGGCAUUUCUGCAGAAGCUCUUGACAGCAGGUGGCAAGAAGCCCUCGAUGUCACCCUCGCUGGUAAUUGAGGGCUCAUUUAAGGAGCUAUGGUCGCAAAUGAGAGUUUAUCAAGCUGGAGUUAUCACAGCUGAUCUGGUCACUGGGCAGGUGACAUGCCUCCUGGCCACAGAGCCACAGUGAGCCACAAAGGAAACAUUUCUUAUGGAGAAAGUGCUGUUUCACCCCAAACUUUUACUCUUGUUAGGUUUCGAAUAGACACUCAGUUUGCAUUUCUUUCCCUUUUUUUUUUAAUGAUGAGUUUAUUAAACCUUUGGAUAUGUGAAUUUGAAUUGAAACAUUUCAGCCAUAAUGUUCCAUCUUUUUUUACAUCACCCAUUCUUUUCUUCCUUCCUUCCUUCCUUCCUUAAUUCCAGUUGCAUUUGCGUUUCCUUUAUUGUUCCAUAAGUCAAUAAUCCCUGCUCAUGUUGUUUGUGGGGUUUUCACAACUCUUUCUACUUCUGUGAAUUCAGUUCCCAUAGCGUUUUCUUCUUCACAAUCAGUUUAUUGUUCAUUUUACAUGUUGUGAUGUUUACCUCUAAAACUUUCAUUUCAUUCAUUUUUAAUCGUCCCUUUUUCUUCUCAUCAUAUUCAUUUUACACUGAAUCUUUGAGCAUAUAUGCAUUUAAUUAUAUAUAGCACGUGAGUUUAGUUGUUGAAUUAACAUUUGGAGACAGUUGAAACCCUCAGUGUAUAAGUUGGGUUUUUGAAGCAGGAUCUUGUUAUCUAGUCUAUAUUGGCCUUUAACUCAUGAGUCUUCUUCCUCAGCCUCCCAAGUGCUAUGCUUACGGGUGUAUGCCACUAUGCCCAGCCUUUUGAACAUGUCUCUAGGGUGUAUGCUGUCUCUUUAAAGCUCUUGUCUGUGAAUUUCCCCAUCACAAUCAUUAAAGUAUGUGUUUGUUUC